UACAGGGGGGGCAAGCGUUGUUCGGAAUUACUGGGCGUAAAGGGCUUGUAGGUGGCCAAUUAAGUCAGACGUGAAAUCCCUCAGCUUAACUGGGGAACUGCGUCUGAUACUGGAUGGCUUGAGUUUGGGAGAGGGAUGCGGAAUUCCAGGUGUAGCGGUGAAAUGCGUAGAUAUCUGGAGGAACACCGGUGGCGAAGGCGGCAUCCUGGACCAACACUGACACUGAAAAGCGAAAGCCAGGGGAGCAAACGGG
rnacentral:rRNA from 1 species